rnacentral:rRNA from 1 species
CGACCGCGUGAGCGAAGAAGGCCUUCGGGUCGUAAAGCUCUGUUGUUAGGGAAGAACAAGUAUCGGAGUAACUGCCGGUACCUUGACGGUACCUAACCAGAAAGCCACGGCUAACUACGUGCCAGCAGCCGCGGUAAUACGUAGGUGGCAAGCGUUGUCCGGAAUUAUUGGGCGUAAAGCGCGCGCAGGCGGUCCUUUAAGUCUGAUGUGAAAGCCCACGGCUCAACCGUGGAGGGUCAUUGGAAACUGGGGGACUUGAGUGCAGAAGAGGAGAGUGGAAUUCCACGUGUAGCGGUGAAAUGCGUAGAGAUGUGGAGGAACACCAGUGGCGAAGGCGACUCUCUGGUCUGUAACUGACGCUGAGGCGCGAAAGCGUGGGGAGCAAACAGGAUUAGAUACCCUGGUAGUCCACGCCGUAAACGAUGAGUGCUAAGUGUUAGAGGGUUUCCGCCCUUUAGUGCUGCAGCUAACGCAUUAAGCACUCCGCCUGGGGAGUACGGCCGCAAGGCUG